AACGAGAUAGUUUAAUAAGAAUUUUGAGUUUGCGUCUCAGGGGUAGAAGUUACUUCUUUUCGUUA
rnacentral:tRNA from 1 species